AUUGAACGCUGGUGGCAGGCUUAACACAUGCAAGUCGAACGGUAACAGGAAUUAGCUUGCUAAUUUGCUGACGAGUGGCGGACGGGUGAGUAAUGCUUGGGAAUCUGGCUUAUGGAGGGGGAUAACUACGGGAAACUGUAGCUAAUACCGCGUAAAAUCUUCGGAUUAAAGGGUGGGACUUUCGAGCUACCUGCCAUAAGAUGAGCCCAAGUGGGAUUAGGUAGUUGGUUAGGUAAAGGCUGACCAAGCCGACGAUCUCUAGCUGGUCUGAGAGGAUGACCAGCCACACUGGAACUGAGACACGGUCCAGACUCCUACGGGAAGCAGCAGUGGGGAAUAUUGCACAAUGGGGGGAACCCUGAUGCAGCCAUGCCGCGUGAAUGAAGAAGGCCUUCGGGUUGUAAAGUUCUUUCGGUGACGAGGAAGGUUGAUAGGUUAAUAGCCUAUCAAAUUGACGUUAAUCACAGAAGAAGCACCGGCUAACUCCGUG
rnacentral:rRNA from 1 species